GGAUUCAAGGAUGAAAAAGCGCGUUUGCCGGUCAGGGUCAAGCGGGGCCGAGAACCAGCUUCCAUUUCCAACUGGCUUUCCCAUGACUGUUUCACAAGCUCAUCGAGUGGGGAAGUUUCCUGAAUCGAGAAGUGAUCGGACUGGAGUUCCGACUCCGAUUAGCGUGGGAGUGAAAGACAAAGAGAGGUGAAACAUGAAAAGCUUUCCUCUCAUUGAAAUGGCCGCUCCAGAUAUGCGGACGAGAUUUCAGCGAUCCCGCAACAUACUUGGGGAAUAUGACUCACCACUCAACUCACUGCAUGUAAAGUUCAGAAAGAAAUCGUCUGGAAAUAUGAAAAGAAGAAGAGUUUAUGGAAGGGGCGGGGCCGCUAUUACGCUCGGUGCCGUCCACCGUCUGUAUUCAUGGUCGACCGAUGAUGGGUCGCCUCCUGUGAAUUGCUGCUUCCUAUGAGAGGAAAAUCCAACAGCAUCAGCAAUGACGACCGGGUUGGUGUUCGUCUUAAGGUCACCAUUCUGGUUUGCGAAACAUUUGGAAGAACCGGUUUGCGUGCGUGAGCCACUCGCGUGUAAACAUUAAUUGUGAUCAACUGGGAUAUCCCGAUCGAAAACCGCGACGCGGGGAUAACGUCACAACCUACAUUUGCGCUUCUUACGUUCGACGUCGAUAAACCCACCGAGUUUUGGAUUGCCACUUACGCAGAGCUCGUAACCUGAACACACGACUUUCUCCACUGCGUUUUCACGGUUGAUGCCAAUCAGUCUUGGACAAUCGCAUGCACAUUUAAUGAGUCAAAUAAAUGCCUCUCUUUAGAUUAACGCUUCACUUUCCAGCACGUUCGGUUCUAACCUGCGAGGCGGUGAGAUAACUGAGAAGAGAAGAAUUAAAAUGUCACUGUCACUGAUGAAAUAUGCACGGUGCAUUCCAGCCAGAAUGUAUGGUACAAAGACAGAAAGGAACGUGAAAAUGCGACGGAUAAAUGAAUGCGUUCAAGUUUGGUGGCCCGUGUGGCAACGCAAGAUGGCCGCCAGUGGCUUCCCUUCUCCCGACGGCGAGUCAACGGCUUUGUUCGUCCAUUCGGAUAGAAGUCCGUGAAGCGAGAGAUGACUUCAAGGAAUUCAUUCAUUUUAUGCGGUUAAAAAAUAUGCACCACAAAUGCAUUAAAAUAGUUUUCAAUCAAGCUUUUUUUUUUAAAUUCACAAUAAUGCGCCGGUGCAACAUGACAGGUACGGUGGUCACAUGUAACGAGGAGCAAGUAGUUAGCCGGCUGUCCAAACACAAUGAGGUCACUAGAUAGGCUCUCAUGACCAAAUAUUCUGCUUC